CAGUCUGUUCCACACUAAGGAACAGUGAAGCAGAACAGCAGGAUGCUGUCUUGUACAGAGGUGCUGCUGUGGAAAAAAAAAAAAAAAACCAAAAAAAACCCCCAAAAAAACCCAACAACAACAACAACAAAAAAAUCAAUCAGGGUCUGGAUUACUUUACUGUCUUGCAAAGUAGAUUAAAUAAUCCAGAAUAAUUUUUAUGAAUUAGCAAUUUUCAAGCAGUAGUGUAGCUUAAUCUCUCCCUCUUUACUCUUGUAAAUUAGACUAGCAGAUUUUGUCUUCAGCUUCAAAUAAUUUUCAAAACAUUAUUUUUGUGUUCUACUAUUUGCAUAUAGCCAACAAAAUAAACAAUUGUAGUAAAUUGUGUCAUAGUGUUUGGUAUGGGUACCAAAUGAAAGCAAUCUCCUUUUGUAAUAUUUGGUAAAUAUUACUGACUUUUACUUUGGGAGUCUGAAAAGCUCCAUCUCAAUCAGUUGUUAGCUAUCAGUGGUGUGUGUAUUGCUUCAUUUGUUUUUUACUGGUUAUUGCUAUUAACAAAGCUGGCUCACAUUUCCUUUUGUCCAAUGUUAUAACCUUAUGACUUAAAAGUAAAAUUUGGUAUCAAGCUGCAGUAAAAAUAUGGAAGUGUAAUUGAACAUAUCCAGGCAGUGCUAGUCUGUUUAAUAUUCAAAGUAUGGUGCUAGCUUUUGACCUUCUCAUUUUCCUGCUAAGUAUUAGUGAUCUGAAGGUUCCCAGCUGAGUGUUUCCCCAUAUCUCCAAUCUAAAUCACAUUAGGGAGGAAUCCACAAAGCUGUGCGCCCACAACAGACUUAAGUGGUUUUGCCAUAUGAGGAGAAAAUAAAAGAAAAUGAAGGAUUUGUUUCACUCCAUGUGUAUGCACCAAGAUAUGGGACACGUUUUCACCAUCUUCUCAAGGGAAGAUGAAGGGACAAAAAGACAGCAGUUUGCCAUAUUGUUGUACUUGUGGAACUACAAUUAGUGCAGCAGGAUGAGAGUUGAAAGGCGGCUCCUGAAAUAUGCUUGUGAUUUCUUAGGGACUCCAUAGAUACUAGGUUACCAGCACAUGCUGUUUAGCCACCUUGGCAGGACUGACACAAAUGUCAGUUUUUUAUGGAAGCAAGUAGACAAAAAAGGGUAGGAAAAGGCAAAUGUCUGGACAGGGAAAUGUGCUGGAGAGAAAGAGAAGGUGAAGAUCUGGCUGCUGCAGGAAUUCACAGGGGAAUUUUUAUGCAAGAUGUUUGUCAAUGAGGAUGGUAGGCUUAUGGCUACAGGCAUUCUUGUAACCUGAAAAGCUUUUGUGUUUAGUAAUUGGAGACUUUUAAAUUUUCUCAAUGCAGAAAAUCAUAACACAUAAAUACCUACCCAAAACAUAAGCUUUCAUGAGAUUUUAGCUUCACUGGACUUCCAGCCCUUUGUGAUACCACCAGGCAAAUUUGCAAGGUGAUAGCACAGCCUCCAGCAACUCUCUGCUCCCCACCUCGAGGAGAAUUUAUAAACAAGGCAACUGACAUGGUAACCGUGGACCAGUGUGGUGGCUGAAAGCUGCUGAAACACAGUGUGACAGAAGGCCAUUCCAGAAAUGAGGACAUCUGUCUUCAUUCUCUUUGUGGAGCCAAUCUGCCAGUGGGAUCGAACAAUAUACUAGUAAGUGCAGUACAUCAAAAGGAGAACUGGGUUAUUUCAACUUUUUUUCCUCUCUUUUCUUUCUUGUGCACUUUUCUUUUUCUUCCUGUAAAACCUAAUUCCUUCUCCUAAGACUGCAUUUCUGCCAAGCACUCACUUCCCUUUCCGCCAAAGGUUGAAGAGAAUCCAACCUCAACUUUUAUAUCAGUUACUUUUAUAUCUGUUACUUUUAUAUCAGAUGAGUAGUAAAAGCAAAGUAUUUAUAUUUCAAAAAGCAAACAGCACAGAAUGUAAAUACAGCUGACUGUCAAAUUCACUUCUGUUGCUAUGCAGAGAUUUUGAUUCAAGGUUAUGCAGUUCCAAAUACUUCACUAAAAGAAGUGAUACUUUUAGUUAUUUCAAGUCCUUGUUUUCACAUAGCUGUUACUUCUGUUUAUCCAAUUUUUUAACAUACAUUUUCCGCCAUAGGUGUAUAUUUGAUUUCUUCUUGGCAAUGAUGCAAUGCUAAGAUUUGGUUUCCAUACAAAUAUAUUACGUCUUCCAGGAGAAUUUCAAAUUGCUAGCAACAUUGCUUAAGCGCUGAAAUUCAUUUAGUAAGACAGAUUUAUUGGAGCAGUACUUAAUUAGUUAACAUAAUGUAUAACCCAGAGUUUGAUAUUGCCUUCUGCCCUCUCAGCUUUACCAAUAUAAAGUAGAUUAGCUUGACCAUGCAAUAAGCUAUGCCUGCAAUUUCCUCUUUUAUGGGGAGGUUAAAUGAAACACAACAGAACAGUUGUGCUGACUGCUCAUAAAGCAUGUUUGUCUGGACAAAAUAGAAGUCUUUUUUUUUCCAUACCUGUACCCUACUUCAAUGACACUUUUUUUUUUGAUACCUCUUAUUUUACAUGCUGUAUGUUUUCAAUGUACAUUUCCAGUUAAGUAUAUUACUGCCUACUAUAUUACUAGUUAAAAAGUAACUGGGUUAUGGCAAAUUGUUUUUACUUGAAGUGUUCUGCUUUCUCUUAAUAAAAUAUAUGUGAUUAGGUUUUGCA